rnacentral:tRNA from 1 species
GUGGGUGUAGCUCAGUUGGUUAGAGCACCAGAUUGUGGCUCUGGAGGUCACGGGUUCAAUUCCCGCCACUCACC